rnacentral:rRNA from 1 species
UAGUGGCGGACGGGUGAGUAACGCGUGGGUAACCUGCCCAUAGGUGGGGAAUAACAGUUGGAAACGACUGCUAAUACCGCAUAAGCUGAGCAAUCAGUAAAGGAGGCUAACGCUUCCGCUUAUGGAUGGGCCCGCGUCUGAUUAGCUAGUUGGUGGGGUAAUGGCCUACCAAGGCAACGAUCAGUAGCCGGCCUGAGAGGGUGGACGGCCACACUGGGACUGAGACACGGCCCAGACUCCUACGGGAGGCAGCAGUGGGGAAUAUUGCGCAAUGGGGGAAACCCUGACGCAGCGACGCCGCGUGAGCGAAGAAGGCCUUAGGGUCGUAAAGCUCUGUUUUAAGGGACGAAUAUCCUCAGUAGUAACUGACUGGGGAAUGACGGUACCUUAAGAGAAAGCCCCGGCUAACUACGUGCCAGCAGCCGCGGUAAGACGUAGGGGGCGAGCGUUGUCCGGAAUUACUGGGCGUAAAGAGCACGUAGGCGGGAUUUUAAGUCAGGUGUGAAAGACCGUGGCUCAACCACGGGGUUGCACAUGAAACUGGAAUUCUUGAGGGCAGGGGAGGAAAGUGGAAUUCCUGGUGUAGCGGUGAAAUGCGUAGAAAUCAGGAGGAACACCGGUGGCGAAGGCGACUUUCUGGACUGACCCUGACGCUGAGGUGCGAAAGCGUGGGUAGCAAACAGGAUUAGAUACCCUGGUAGUCCACGCUGUAAACGAUGGAUACUAGGUGUGGGAGGUAUCGACCCCUUCCGUGCCGCAGCAAACGCAAUAAGUAUCCCGCCCUGGGGAGUACCGUCGCAGGGCUGAACUCAAAAGAAUUGACGGGGGCCGCACCAGCCGUGGGGCAUGUGGUUUAAUUGAUGCCACGCGAAGACCUUUACAGGUCUUGACAUCCAAGAAUCUUGAUGAAAGUCGGGAGUGCCUUAGGAGCUUUGAGACAGGUGGUGCAUGGUGUCGUCAGCUCGUGUCGUGAGAUGUUGGGUUAAGUCCCGCAACGAGCGCAACCCUUGCUAUUAGUUGCUAACAUUGAGUUGAGCACUCUAAUGGGACUGCCCGUGACAAGCGGGAGGAAGGUGGGGAUGACGUCAAAUCAUCAUGCCCUUUAUGAUCUGGGCUACACACGUGCUACAAUGGAUGGUACAGAGAGCAGCGAGACAGUGAUGUGGAGCGAAUCUCAAAAAGCCAUUCUCAGUUCGGAUUGCAGGCUGCAACUCGCCUGCAUGAAGUCGGAAUCGCUAGUAAUCGCGGAUCAGCAUGUCGCGGUGAAUGCGUUCCCGGGCCUUGUACACACCGCCCGUCA